rnacentral:tRNA from 1 species
CAGGCCCCGCGGUGAGCGCACACCGGAGUGCAAAUCCGGAGAAGCACCCAAAAGGGUGCCGGGGCUUC